rnacentral:lncRNA from 1 species
AGAAAAGGAAACGAAAGGGAGAGGGAGUAAAGGCAAGACCAAAUUGCACAGUCCAUGGUGACAGGUAUCAUGAGACCUUCCCAUCCCACGGACCCCUGGAAGUUCAGGUAGGGUAUUGAUAUCUUACCCAGCCCUUUAAUAAAUUGAUCAACAAAGAAGGUCAAGCUAAAGGAACGCAGGAGGGACAGUAUUGGAUUGAAGAUGACUCCUGGUGGCAUAUGCGUCCUGUACGAUGAAAACCUGUCUGAAACUCCGAGGUCCACUGAAGGAGGAAUCUGGUUCAAUGUCCACAAAGCAGUGACCCAAUAGGCCGAGGUCAGGAAACGACGAGGGUGACUGACAGAGCACGGGCAUUCCAGCGUUUUCCUGGUGUUAGCCCAAUGGGAAAAUGUGAGCACCCGUCCGGCAGUAUCAGAGAACUGAAUCUAGAGAGAAAGGGAGUGAAGGCAUUUGCCAGGUCCUUGGUGACCCCCAUGGUAUGCCGCAUGCCAGGCUAUGGCCAGGUGUGUGUGUGGAAGCCGCGAGCCUGGAGAAUGGCUGUGCCAUUGGGUCUCCUGCUCUUGGCUUUGUACUCCUCAGUGUGCAGCCGCCGGACCCGAAGGCAGGCUCCUUCCUGGAUGAGCAGGCGAGGAUGGCAGCGUUGUCUCUGGAUCCAGAAGGCCAGUGGUGGAAGCCGAAGGCCAGGCCAGGCUGCGUGGGGCCGAGACCCCUCCUCUGGCGGUGGUGGCAGGAGAGAGCCCAAGGUGAGUCAUGGCCCCAUGCUGCUGUCUCAGUUUGGGUCAUUGGGAUAAGGGUUUUCAUUGUCUUCUUACAAAGUAGUAAAUGUAAUCAAAGUUUAACUAUGGUCUAUUGA